UUCAAGUGGGUUGAGACAGAAAACUUUUUCACUAGCGUUUAUAAACUCUAGUGGCAGCUUUGCGUGCUUAUCACGUGGUUGGAGGCGAACACUAGGAAGUACUAACGGAGAGAGCUUGUGCCAGAAGAAGAUUGUUAAGGGCAUUUAGGUGCUACUUUAAUGAAGAAGAGCGAAAAGUUAAAAGACAGCAGGAAAUGAUGCUUAUCUGAUUGGACUUAACCAUUCCUACGGCUGGCUUGAGGGCUGAAACGAGAGGAAAUGAUUAGAUCUUGAGGAAAUCUGCAACUCAAAAUUGUGUGGUUCCUUUUAUUUUGGAUUAUACAGUAAUUUUCAAGCUGACUUGGGGGAAAUACGCAUGUGAUUGGGUGAAGGAUUGUCGACGUCAUCUUACCAGGCAGUAUUAGAGUUACUGAAAUGCGUGUCUAAUACUGUCAGGUAAAGAUGUCUACGAUGUCCUCAAGCGACUCUACAUCCGAAGAAAAGAACUGAACUUCACGGAAUUAUAUUCAUUGCAGGAGAUGCAACGUCAACAGUAACAACUUAGUGGAGGAAAACUCUUAUUUGAUUAAAGUGCUAAUCUUAACGAUGACAGUGGCAUCAAGAACAAAGAGCAGCCAGUGUUUUGUGUAAGAUUGCUGCCGAAGAUGGGAUUCUGCACAAAGAAAGGACUGAUGUUCUUAGACACCUCAGAAAACAAAAUACUGUGUUGUGUAGUUCUACUAAUUUUCAGUUGCUUUCCAGCCUUCUCUCUAUAUAACUGGAUUCGGAGAAAGCAUUUGUGCAUUCUGGAAGUUUUUGAAUGUAAACUGAAACCUUACAGUCAAACAAGAAUGAAAUGCCAAGUAAAACUAGUGCAUGAAAAAUGACAUUUAUCGACGCAGAUUUUAUUUAGCAAAAGCGCUUAUAGCGACUAUACACUAUCCGUUUCUUCAGCUGCAAAAAGCGGUAGUGUUCAAGUGCUUUCCCUAAAAUAAAAUCUACAUCAAUUAGCGUCCUUUUUCGCGUAUUCAAAAAAUUUUAGGCUGUUUUGCAAUAAGGUAACUUUAUUUGGUAAAAAAAAUAUGCUCAUUUUUUGAAAUGUCCAACCACAAACCACUUUCCUUUUCGGCCAAAUUACUAGUUGGACUUCUAUGCUUUUUAUUUUGUAAAGCCAUUCAAUGAUUGGCCAUAUCGGAACAUACUGUUAUCCAUGAGUGGCACUGCUUCAAAUCAGAAAUAGCAUGUGAAAUAAAAUCUCAUGACAGCAACUCAAGUUUUAUGGAAUGCGAUGUAGUGCCGCCUAGGAUAUAUUACUUUUGCUUAUAGGCGACUAACUCGAAAGCUGUUAAAUCUUUCUCUUUAUCUAAAGAGUUUUCUUCUUUAUGGUUUAUAUGAUGACUGACUGUCAUACACAGAACUGAUACUUUUUAAAAACUGCUGAAUUUUAAAAUUAGGAUGUUUAGGAAAAGGUGUCCGCC